GUACUUGAAGAGAAUGUAAAAUCAAAGCUAUCUCGAUUGUGCUAUCUUCCGAUUCAGAAUAUCUUCUCACUCUAUGAUGUUCACAACAUCUGGCACAUUCCUUUGAUGCUGAAGGAUCAGAAGGCUCAUGAAGCAAUCUCAAAAGUCCUGAACCUUUCUGGUAUUGCUAAAGAACCUUCUUUAGGCAAAUGGGCUUCAAUGGUAGAAAUUAGUGACAAUUUA